rnacentral:rRNA from 1 species
GACGUAGGAGGCGAGCGUUGUCCGGAUUCAUUGGGCGUAAAGAGCACGCAGGCGGUUUGGCAAGUCGGACGUGAAAAUCCGGGGCUCAACCCCGGACCUGCAUCCGAAACUGCCCGACUAGAGGUAGGUAGGGGAGAUCGGAAUUCCUGGUGUAGCGGUGAAAUGCGCAGAUAUCAGGAAGAACACCCGUGGCUAAGGCGGCUCUCUAGUACGGUACUGACGCUGAGACGCGAAAGCGUGGGGAGCGAACAGG